UUUAACUUAAGUCCAAUGAGAUUGUGAAAUCUUUCUUGAUUUCACAUUGAAUUCACGUUAGUUGACAACUCAACCGAAUGUAAAACAAAACCAGACCUUGAACUGACGUCUGUGCCCAGUGGGCAGUAGCCUGACCCCAGGUAUUCAGUUCACCACCCAUCACAAUACAGGAGACACAGGAGGUGCAGACAGACUGAGAAUAUAGUUCUCCCCAAAUAUCUCGCUGGGCUGUGAGGGUACACAUACAGGACCAUUAUGUUUGUUCAGAACAACCAGCCUUGUACAGCGAGGAAAGACAACCAUAGGUUCCCAGUAGGCAGGUACACUCACCUCUGUUAUCAACUGUCCAAACAGCCUGCAUGUGUACACACUACCCACACAGACAGAAACCCUGGAAGCCUCUCAACCUCCACCACCACUACCACCACCACAUGGACUCUGAUUCUCUCUCCACAUCAGGGCUCUGACCCCUACGAAUAAGAUAAAUAUCAUACCUUUGUGAAAAAUAAAGUCCACAUCAAAACAUGUUAGAGGCAAUUCUCCCCAUGUAAAGA